rnacentral:rRNA from 1 species
GUUGAACGCUGGCGGCAUGCCUUACACAUGCAAGUCGAACGGUAACAGGUCUUCGGAUGCUGACGAGUGGCGAACGGGUGAGUAAUACCUCGGAACGUGCCCGAUCGUGGGGGAUAACGCAGCGAAAGCUGUGCUAAUACCGCAUACGAUCUACGGAUGAAAGCGGGGGAUAUUCGGACCUCGCGAGGACGGAGCGGCCGAUGGCAGAUUAGGUAGUUGGUGAGGUAAAGGCUCACCAAGCCGACGAUCUGUAGCUGGUCUGAGAGGACGACCAGCCACGCUGGGACUGAGACACGGCCCAGACUCCUACGGGAGGCAGCAGUGGGUAAUUUUGGACAAUGGGCGCAAGCCUGAUCCAGCCAUGCCGCGUGCAAGAUGAAGGCCUUCGGGUUGUAAACUGCUUUUGUACGGAACGAAAAGGUUCUUUCUAAUAAAGGGAGCUCAUGACGGUACCGUAAGAAUAAGCACCGGCUAACUACGUGCCAGCAGCCGCCGUAA